AUGGCUGCGACUUCCCUCAUGUCCGUGUUGGCUGCCUGGCUGCUGCAGCCUGCACAUAGCUGCUCCCUUCCACCUCGCGGCAGUUCAAAAUGAAGCUGUUGUCAUUUCUGGAAGGAAACUAGCCCAGCAGAUCAAGCAGAAAGUGCGGCAGGAGGUGGAAGAGUGGGUGGCCUCAGGCAACAAACCUGAGCAUGAUCCUGGUUGGCGAGAAUCCUGCAAGU
rnacentral:lncRNA from 1 species